rnacentral:rRNA from 1 species
AGUGAACGCUGGCGGUAGGCCUAACACAUGCCAGUCGAACGGCAGCACAGUAAGAGCUUGCUCUUACGGGUGGCGAGUGGCGGACGGGUGAGGAAUACAUCGGAAUCUACUUUUUCGUGGGGGAUAACGUAGGGAAACUUACGCUAAUACCGCAUACGACCUACGGGUGAAAGCAGGGGAUCUUCGGACCUUGCGCGAUUGAAUGAGCCGAUGUCGGAUUAGCUAGUUGGCGGGGUAAAGGCCCACCAAGGCGACGAUCCGUAGCUGGUCUGAGAGGAUGAUCAGCCACACUGGAACUGAGACACGGCCCAGACUCCUACGGGAGGCAGCAGUGGGGAAUAUUGGACAAUGGGCGCAAGCCUGAUCCAGCCAUACCGCGUGGGUGAAGAAGGCCUUCGGGUUGUAAAGCCCUUUUGUUGGGAAAGAAAAGCAGCAGGUUAAUACCCCGCUGUUCUGACGGUACCCAAAGAAUAAGCACCGGCUAACUUCGU